rnacentral:rRNA from 1 species
GACGAACGCUGGCGGCAUGCCUUACACAUGCAAGUCGAACGGCAGCACGGGUGCUUGCACCUGGUGGCGAGUGGCGAACGGGUGAGUAAUAUAUCGGAACGUACCUUAUUGUGGGGGAUAACGCAGCGAAAGCUGUGCUAAUACCGCAUAAUCCCUAAGGGGGAAAGCGGGGGACCGUAAGGCCUCGCGCAAUUAGAGCGGCCGAUACCUGAUUAGCUAGUUGGUGAGGUAAAGGCUCACCAAGGCAACGAUCAGUAGCUGGUCUGAGAGGACGAUCAGCCACACUGGGACUGAGACACGGCCCAGACUCCUACGGGAGGCAGCAGUGGGGAAUUUUGGACAAUGGGGGCAACCCUGAUCCAGCAAUGCCGCGCGAGUGAAGAAGGCCUUCGGGUUGUAAAGCUCUUUUGUCGGGGAAGAAACAGCAGCUCUAACACAGUUUGCGAAUGACGGUACCUGAAGAAUAAGCACCGGCUAACUACGUGCCAGCAGCCGCAGUAA